rnacentral:lncRNA from 1 species
UUGUUCGGCCUCAGAUAAUCCAGGAAGUACACCUGGCUUGCAAGAAAUUUGGUUUCUUCCAGGUACUACUUGUCAUGCACUGUCGUGUCGUGUCCAUGUCACCUGCAACUGCAUACUAGAUAAGAAAGUGUUACCCUAUUCGUUUACUUUGUUCCUUGCGAUAGGAUCCAAAUAAGGAAAAAGAUGUCGUCAGAUCAUCAACAUAUAGAAAGAACUUAAUGUCACACAUGGUGCAUUAAGGUUCUAGGUCUCAUCUCCUUUGUCUUCUCAUUAACCUUUAUUUUCAGAUUCACUUAAACAAGUCAAUGUCCAAGAUUUCAGCUACUUAGGUUGUCUUGUUGAAGUGUGUGACCAUCUCAUCUAAAAGCUUAAGCUAUUAGAGAGAGCACACUUUUAUUAUUUAAUUAUAUUCUCAACACGCCCCCACACGUGCGGGCCUGAUUUUUUUUCAUGGGCCAAGCACGUGGAAAUUCUUUUUUGAUUUGGGUUGGCGGUGAGAUUCGAUCUCAGGACCUCUGCCUGCUCUGAUACCAUGUUGAAGUGUGUGACCAUCUCAUCUAAAAGCUUAAGCUAUUAGAGAGAGCACGCUUUUAUUAUUUAAUUAUAUUCUCAACAUGUCUAAUAGGAAGAAAAAUAUGACGUUCUUCACAAAUUCAGCUGAGCGUAAAAUAACACCAUGCAUGCAAUAAAUGAUUCUGCAGGUAGUUAACCAUGGAAUCCCAAUGUCAGUCAUGAAAGAUGCUAUAGAUGCUGCGAGCGAAUUCUUCAAUUUACCAACUGAAGAGAAAAGGCAUCUCUUGUCUUCAAAUGUUCAUGACCCCGUAAGAUAUGGUACCAGUCUAAAUCAUGUCAAAGACAAAGUAUACUUUUGGAGAGACUUCCUCAAGCACUAUGCUAAUCCAACCUCAACUUGGCUCGACUUUUGGCCAUCAAAUCCCACAGCUUACAAGUAAGUCUUUCAUUUUCUUUACUGAAUAUUUUUAGCAGAAAAGUUGUCUUGUAGAUUCAACUUCUUACUGUUCAAGAACGAUAUAAUUUCUUCAAGAUCCUAAAGAAAUUCUUCAUGCAGGAAGAAAAUGGGAAACUACACAGUGGCAGCACAAAAGUUGCAAGAAGAACUCAUGGAGGUGAUAUUUGAGAGCUUAGGACUAAACAGUAAUUACUUACAUGAAGACAUUGCAGAAGGUUCCCAGGUCAUGGCAGUUAAUUGCUAUCCAGCAUGUCCUGAGCCAGAUCUUACACUAGGAUUGCCACCACAUACAGAUUAUGGUAUGCUAACAAUCAUUCUUCAAAACCAUCUGGGCUUGCAAAUCAUGGAUCGAGAUGAAAAGUGGCAUUCAGUUCCACUCAUUGAAGGAGCUCUCAUUGUUCAAUUGGGAGAUCAAAUGGAAGUAUUGAGCAAUGGCAGAUACAAAAGUGUUCUGCAUCGAGCAACAGUUAACUCAGAAAAAAAGCGCAUUUCGAUUGCCAGCCUUCAUAGUCUAGCUUUAGGUAAAAAAGUUAGACCUGCAUCAGAGCUUGUCAAUGAACAACAUAUCUUGUCCUAUAAAGAAGGAAGCUUCAGUGAUUUUCUAGACUUCAUUUCUGGAGAAGAUAUUGUGGAAGCAAAGUACAUAGACAAAUUAAAAAUAAACUCAUGAAGAUUAUGGUAAAUGAGACAGCAGAGCAGAGCAGAGCAAAGCAUACAAGAAAUCUCUUCUUUACACUCAAAUUCAAUGCUGCACAACCUCUGUGUUCGUACUGUUUAAAUACACAGGCAUAUAACUAGUAGCUGUUUUUCUUAUGACACACUCUAAUAUCAAUCGUGAGGGUCUCUUCAUUCUUCAUAUACAAGAUCUCACUGUGACAAAUAAAUUUUGGAACAAAGUUUAUCAGUUCAUUUAUUUUUAAGUACGAUUUUCAUUUUGACGGAUUUAUGGAAGCAUGAUUUGUCAACAUCAUAAAAUGAACCAUCAGGAUCUUCAUUCAGCCAAUGCUUGACCUCAGUUGGCUAACACCAGACUUCAGCACAUAGAUGUUACAAUACACUCAUCACAUUAAAGCAUUCAAGUUGUUUAAAAGGUAUUCCUGCUUAAUCCUAAUGUAAACCAUACCACAUUCAUCUCUAGUACACGUGUUUAUUUUUUUGUUGACAGUAAAUUGAUAAGGAGAAUUCAUUAAGAUCUUAAACUAAUUAGACCUGCAAAGACACUAGGGUGAUUUACCAUUGUAAAGUAUAUACAGAUACAAUCAGCUUCCAACAAUAUCUGUUCUGUACAGUAGCCCACAAAUUAACCAGCAUAACAACAACUUUAGUAUUAUAAUCUUUUUCCUUAUUUCUUUUUUCCCCAGAUAAGACAUAACGGAAUCUCAAUUUUCAUAAGCCUGGCAUGUCAAUAUGAUGAGUCUAACACUACAGAAAACUUUUCAUCACGGUGAUCUCAGCGAAAUUUCAGAGGUCCAGCACUAUCCAGUUAUCAUUUCAGAACUCCUUCAAAUUAAUUAAUCAUCGUGACAAAUUAUCUAUAUUUUCUUACACUGAAUUGCUUCUUUUUACAUAUAUUUCUUACAGCAGUUAGUGGAAUAAAUGAUGCAGUCAUCACCUUUGUUAAUCAAAUUGAUAACUGACUCUAUUUCACAUCAUAAUGAUUUAACUCCUUUGCAAUAUCGAAAAUUCAGAACUGUUGUUAAUGCUACUCUAAUUGCCUGCAGUUUCUUCAUCUUAUUUGCUUUUGGUUUUACUUCAAAUUAAUUCAUUAUCCACCAAAUUGUAUAAAAUGGUUAAGUCAUUGUCAUUGGUCCUAAUUCAAGCUGCUAAUUUACAAUGUUGUUCAUAGAAUGAAAGCUGAUCUCCUCAGAAAAUAAGAUAAACUGCUAAAACAAGAGACAUCAAUAUUUUCUUCAAUCUUACAUAUUAGAGAAUCAUAAAUCCAAGCCAAUAUAUUGAUAAGAACAUCAUGUUUCUCCUUGAAGUUGAAAUUUGAUUUAGAAAUGAUUUUUUCGUUUAUCCAUUCAGAAAGGUAUAGAGAAAACUAUAAUCACAAAUAUUGUGUUAGCGAUUUUGCCUAGAGCAUUACGAAUAACUUUAGAAAGCUAUUGACUUAUUCAGAAGAGAACUAAUCAUUUAUUAAGUGAGUUAAUUAAGUAGUUAGCUUCUUCAUUGAUCUAAUUUCUAAUUUCUUCAGCAAUUAACAAUAUAGUUCAGAAAUUUAACAUUGUUUAUGCAUAUGCUCACCAAUCAUAUCAUCAACUUACUAAUUAAACUUCUAUAAGCUUGAAUUUGCAGUUGAAUUUGUCCAUUCCAAUUACAAACAGCGAUUUUGUGUAUGAUUUGCAUAUAAUCUCGGGAUAUAUGAAUAGCAAACAAAUAAAAUUGCAGAUUUACAUGACUUUCAGUCUAAUUAGUACUAUAAUUACACAAAAAUAGGGACAAAUUUCAACUGAUUCGAGGAAAAAAAAAUACUUACGAAGGGAAGUGAAAAUUGGUUCGAAAAAUUAGCGGUUACGUCUCUGAUCUUCUUCAUUGGCAUUUCUUAUUUUC